rnacentral:tRNA from 1 species
GCCCGGGUAGCUCAAUCGGUAGAGCGUGUGGCUCUUAUUACAGAGAAAUAUAAACCUCAAGGUCGUGGGUUCGAGCCCCACCUCGGGCU